rnacentral:lncRNA from 7 species
CGGUGCUGAAACUAGCUCGGAAGUGUAGGGAAUAAAACUGACCCCAACGGGAGGCAUGCACAGGACAUUUGCCUCGUGCCGGUCACUAUGGACGCAAACGCAACGCAACGCAACGGAACCGGUUCUAACAGGGUAUGCAUUUUGCAUGCCCCGGCGGAGGAGAGCUAAAAAUAGAUAGCAUGUCUCCUCGAUGCAUCUCCCAUGGGAGCAAUGGCCGCGAGGAAGAAUCGAGGGAGACGACGCCGAUGCACGAGAAGGGAGUGGUGACCGGUGCGAGAAGGGCUCAUGGGGUGGUUCGUCGGCGCCGACUGACUCGAUCCAGCGCCGUUGGAGCUCCGGCAGUUUCCCCAACCCCAGAUUAGCGGAGCCGUGGGCGUUGGCCUUCCAUGUACUAAAGGUGGGAAUGUGGGAUGUAUAGUGUGCAGAUCUGCAUCGCGUGAUUGCAGGUUGCGCGCGGUUGGUCAAUUGCAGAGGGUAGUGUUCCUAAAAAACAAGCCUCAUACGCUUGGCUUGCUUGUUUCAUAUGACCAAGAAAGAAGACAUUCCGGGUGUUGCUAUUUGAGAAAUACAUAGGAUUGCCCAAAAAUGGUUUCUAGGAUGGGUUCUAAUUUUUCAAA